UUCCUGCCUUCUGCGUUUUUGCUUUCAGAGCUGCCGAUAGCAAGAUGUCUUCGGGAAAUGCCAAAAUUGGGCAUCCUGCCCCCAACUUCAAAGCCACGGCUGUUAUGCCAGAUGGCCAGUUCAAAGAUCUCAGCCUAUCUGACUACAAAGGAAAAUACAUUGUGUUCUUCUUUUACCCUCUUGACUUUACCUUUGUGUGCCCCACGGAGAUCAUUGCUUUCAGUGACAGGGCAGAAGAAUUUAAGAAACUCAACUGUCAAGUGAUUGGUGCUUCUGUGGAUUCUCAUUUCUGUCACCUGGCAUGGAUCAACACAAGAAACAAGGAGGACUGGGACCCAUGAAUAUUCCCUUGGUAUCAGACCCCAAACGUACCAUUGCUCAGGACUAUGGAGUCUUAAAGGCUGAUGAAGGCAUCUCCUUCAGGGGCCUCUUUAUCAUUGAUGAUAAAGGUAUCCUUAGGCAGAUCACGGUAAAUGACCUUCCUCUAACUGGCAGCAAAUUGGACAUCUAG